UACUUCAUAAAGUUACUACGAGGAGUAAAUGAAGUUACCCGUAGCGCUCACAACAGCGUCAAAAAGGACACUAUGGCUACUGUUGUUACUGCAGCAUAAACGGGGCCUGUGGACCGUGGUACCGGCAGGUGCGCGCCCUGGCGUCUGUCCUGUAGUGCCCACCGCAGGGCUCUCCCGAGGACCGCCCCCGCUUCCCACCGCCCACCGCAACAACCGCCGGCUGGCUUCUAUUUAGGGGAGAAAAGGGCAUGUGGGAUGUCAACUUCAGUGGUGUUUUAAUUUACCAAGGACUUUUUCUUAAAAAUCUCGUGAUAUAGCGCUCCUUUUGGGGGAAGGAGAGUGAGGUUCAGGCAGUCGGAGUCACCAGUGGAUACAGCCGCCGUUAGUACGCAAGUCCAGACCUUGCUGAGGGAAGAAAUAAAGUUCAAAAAAUAAUGGAAAUGGGGCACAUUUGAUAGCACAUGUGUUUCAAGAGAUUCCUCUCAAAAGCCCAAGAUGCUGGGAUGCAGCACAAAGCUCUCAGGGUACGAACGGCAGCUCCCUCCACGGCACCCACACCUGCGCAAAGCCACAGUCGGAAGAACUGUUUCUACAAAUUAUAUCUAAUCACUUCUCCCAGUCAAAGGAGACAGUGGGCGUCCCAGUGGGCGCUUUCUCCAUGGUGUACCGGCCUGCCCAGUUCCAUGGACACUUCGAGAGUGUCGAGGCUCCGUGGACAAGCGGGAAGGUUGGGCAGAGCCCAGGAGGACAGCAUCAGAGAUUCCUCAUCACAGACAGGCAUUUCAGGCAUCCACACGGCAGCAGUGGGCCAGAUCUCCUGAGUCGGGCACUGGCGAGCCUCAGCCGGGGCUGCUCAGACGGCUGCAGUGCACUGUGCCUUCGGAGAACAGCUGCUCCGUGUUUCUUCCGGUAGAUGGAAUGGAACGAGCCCCGUGGCCCCCAUGUCCUCUUGGAGGGUGGGCGAGAAAACCGGAGACAGCGCACCCAGACGUUUUGGUCCUCGCUGGCCAGAUCCCAUAGGAAGUGGUCUAAUGAUUCGGCACAGUAAAACAUUGAAAAAUAGGGUAGAGGAUCAGAAUGUUGGAGACAAAGGUAGGGGUGGUCUCUCCACUACUGAAAAAGGAAAAUUACUCACUUUUCUCAGUAAGAAAAAAUGCCAAAGUGUUCUUCCAGAAAGACAUUUAGAACUGCACACACACACACACACACACACGCAUCUCUGAGACAGACGCCAAGCUCUGCUCUGAAACCAUGUGAAUUUUUCUCUCAUGAAUUUGUCAGCCGAACUCCAAACCACUUUAUUCUUUCCUCAUUUCUGGUCUCUGUUCAGUAUGUUUUCAGUUAGUGCUUCUUGGCAUAGCUUCCGUCGGAGCUGAGAGGGCCUGUUUCUCACCCCCUUCUCUCUGUCUACCCCUAUUCUUUUUCUUUUCUUUCCUUUUAAAGCAUUUCUUGUGGUGUUUUUUCUUCUGGGCUCUUCAGUGGCUCCGAAAACACUGCCAAGACCCACAUGAACAGGGUCUCUGGAACCCACACUGUCUGCCUGGUCAGACCAUCACACAGCACGUGGGGGCAGGCGCCAAGGAGGGCCCAGAGACCUGUGGGUGCAAGCACCCCGCCACCCGCACAGCUGCGGCUCCCGGAACCAGCUGGGAACAGACACCAAAGC